GAAAGAUGGCUGAGUGGUUCAAAGCACUGAAUUGCGAAAUCAACGUAUAUAAUAAUUUAUACCAUGGAUUUUAAUCCUGUUCUUUC
rnacentral:tRNA from 12 species